rnacentral:rRNA from 1 species
AACGGCCGUACCAUGCUGAAUAUACCGGUUCUCUUUAGAUCACCGAAGUUAAGCAUCAUUGGGCGCGGUCAGUACUUGGGUGGGUAA